UACGAAGGGGGCUAGCGUUGCUCGGAAUCACUGGGCGUAAAGCGCACGUAGGCGGAUUGUUAAGUCAGGGGUGAAAUCCUGGAGCUCAACUCCAGAACUGCCUUUGAUACUGGCGAUCUUGAGUCCGGGAGAGGUGAGUGGAACUGCGAGUGUAGAGGUGAAAUUCGUAGAUAUUCGCAAGAACACCAGUGGCGAAGGCGGCUCACUGGCCCGGAACUGACGCUGAGACGCGAAAGCGUGGGGAGCAAAGCAGG
rnacentral:rRNA from 1 species